rnacentral:rRNA from 1 species
GACGAACGCUGGCGGCGUGCUUAACACAUGCAAGUCGAACGGUGAAGCGCCUUCCUUUUUGGUGGGUGUGGAUGAGUGGCGAACGGGUGAGUAACACGUGAGUAACCUGCCCCCUUCUUCUGGAUAACCGCAUGAAAGUGUGGCUAAUACGGGAUAUUCUGGGCCUGUCGCAUGAUGGGUCUGGGAAAGAUAUUGUUUCGGUGGGGAUGGGCUCGCGGCCUAUCAGCUUGUUGGUGGGGUGAUGGCCUACCAAGGCGGUGACGGGUAGCCGGCCUGAGAGGGUGGACGGUCACACUGGGACUGAGACACGGCCCAGACUCCUACGGGAGGCAGCAGUGGGGAAUAUUGCACAAUGGGCGCAAGCCUGAUGCAGCGACGCCGCGUGAGGGAUGGAGGCCUUCGGGUUGUGAACCUCUUUCGCCAGUGAAGCAGGCCUGCCUCGUUUGUGGGUGGGUUGACGGUAGCUGGAUAAGAAGCGCCGGCUAACUACGUG